UAAUUAAGCGGAGGAAAAGAAACUAACCAGGAUUCCCUCAGUAAGGGCGACUGAAGCGGGAAGAGCUCAAACCGAAGAAUUGUGGUGUGUUUGCGCUAUGUGGCCGGCCAAAGUCCCUUGGAACAGGGCAGCGUAGAGGGUGAGACUCCCGUUUGGCUGGUCCUUUGAGCAUUCAUGUUUGAGUCGAGUUGUUUGGGAUUGCAGCUCAAAGUGGGUGGUAAAUUCCAUCGAAAGCUAAAUAUUGGUGGGAGACCGAUAGCGUACAAGUACCGUGAGGGAAAGAUGCAAAGAACUUUGAAAAGAGAGUUAAAGAGUACCUGAAAUUGCUGAAAUGGAAGCGAAGGAAACCAGUGUCGUGCGUGUUAUAUUUCCUUGUCCAUUUAUGGGCUUGGCGCUGUGGCUGCACUGGUCAAGGUUGGUUCGUUUGGGCYCAAAUCGUGCCCGGGCGGACCGAGUCUUGACGAAAUGGUUUUCUUUCCCCCG
rnacentral:rRNA from 2 species